UUCGGUGACCAUGGCGGAGGGGAAACACCCGUUACCAUCUCGAACACGGAAGUUAAGCCCUCCAGCGCCGAUGGUACUGCUCUAGCGAUGGAGUGGGAGAGUAGGUCGUUGCCGGAA
rnacentral:rRNA from 1 species